CGGAGUCUUUUUUUAGCAGCAGCAUCUUCGAAGUGUUCUUUAUCCUAGCUAGUGUUCUAGCAACCUGCUUCAUCCUGCCUUGAAUCUCUGUACCGUGACAAGAACACCUUCAACCUUCUCUCAGCUUCAUUUGUGUUCCUCAGAGUGUUUCCUGAAUUUUUUUUUCAGAUUUUUCCUCACUAUCUUAAUUGCCAGAACAGUGCGCCGGGAUCUAACAGUUCAAUAUAUAUUUAGGGUCCUGACUCCAGAUGUAUUAUCCUGGUUUGGUGGAAUAAUCAUCCAGUCACAAGUUAUAACAGCAAGAUUUGUUGAAGGCACUAUUCAAUCCGUGGGAAACAACGCGACAAAAAAAAACAGGAUGUUUGCUAUCAUCUGAAAAGUGUUUGGUGUGCUCAUAAAAUAGAGCAAAUAUGGACGAUGAGCCUGGCAGACAUAAUAAGCAGGAGAGCAUAUUACACAGUCAACGUUUGAAUCUACAAGGUCUUUCAUUAAAAUAUUUGAGAGAGAUCACAAAUGAUUUCUCUGAUGAGCGGCUACUUGGACAAGGUGGUUUUGGUAGGGUGUAUAAGGGAGUUCUAGCAAAUGGGGAUACCAUUGCUGUGAAGAAGCUUACAUGGACAAUGUCAGGACUUCAGGAUAAGCAAUAUGAGAACGAAGCCCGUCAUCUCAUGAGGCUUAAACAUCAAAACAUAGUGCAACUUGUAGGAUACUGUUCUGAAACAGAGAAGGAACUUGUACUGCACAACGGGAAAUACGUUUAUGCUGAGAAGUCAGAAAGGUUGCUUUGCUUGGAGUACCUGCCUAAUGGAAGCCUUUGCAAGCAUCUUUCCGAUGCAUCUUCUGGACUUGAUUGGGAUACACGCUACAAAAUUAUUAGGGGUAUUUGCUAUGGUUUACAUUAUCUUCAUGAGGAGUGGCAAGCUAGUACCCCUAUUAUUCAUAGGGAUCUUAAACCUGCAAACAUAUUGCUUGACGAUGAUAUGGUGCCAAAAAUUGCUGACUUUGGUUUGUCGAGGCUCUUCGGUGAGCUACAAACUCGAACCAUCACAAAAAAUCAGUAUGGAACACUGGGUUACAUGUCACCGGAAUACUUAAACAGAGGCAUAAUCACAAAGAAGUUAGAUAUAUUCAGUUUGGGCGUAAUAAUCAUAGAGAUAGCUACAGGAGACAAGCACUACCCUGAUAAUGUUGAAACAUCAUCCGAGGAAUUCAUUGGGCUUGUAAGUAAACUAUGUUUCGACUUUUGGAAAAGGGGAUGUCCCCUUUUCCAAAGAUAUGCUAUUAAUAAUUUUCCCUCUGCAUACCACCUCGAAAAAAAAUCUCUCUGGAAAACUUUUCCUAGAAUGUUUCUAACAUUAUAGGUUUGUGUUCUGGCUUCAAGGUUCUUACAAAAUGGAAAAUUAGGGUCUAAAAAGUACAAGGGUAUACAUCCCGAGAAUUUGAUUGCCAACAAAUAAGAAGGUGCAUUGAGAUUGGUCUACUCUGCGUGAAAAUUGAUCGGGCGGAAAGGCCAGCAACACGACAAAUUAUAGAGAUGCUCACAGAGGGUGGUGCAGAAUGCAGCAGCAAGAGGGAGGGAAUUAAGUUUACCAAACAAGCGGAGGAGACCGGUGGUCCGUCGGGGAAGAGCCAAGUGCAGGCGGGGAAGAGCCAAGCGCAGGCGGUGGGAGAGGAGGGGUCGCUGUCCGUGUACGCUCGCGGCGCAAGCGAGUACCAUGAUCGACGGGGCGCCGCGCGGGAGUACGUGGACUUCGACCCUGUCGUGGAGUGGAAGCUGCCCGGCGAGGACCAGGACGUGGUGGAGAUCUCGCUGCCGGGGUUCCGCAAGGACCAGGUGAGGGUGCAGGUGGACAACCACGGCGUGCUCCGCGCCACCGGCGAGCGCUCGGCGAGGGGUGGCCGAUGGGCGCGGUUCAAGAAGGACCUCCUCCUCCCCGACAACUGCGACGCCGACGGCAUCCGCGCCAAGUUCGAGGGCGAGAAGCUCAUCAUCACGCUCCCCGUCGUCCCCGCGGCCCCGACGCCGUCUCCUACGGAGCCCGAGACGCCGCCGUCUCCUUUGCCACAUGGGACGCCAGCUGCUGUUCCCGGGCAAAUGAAACCUCCCUUGCAGGAGAGAGCAAUCGCUGUGUCACCCUCUUCUCCGGCACCUCUGCCUCCUCGUCACGCAGAGGAAGCGCGGAAGAAGCAACUGCAAGAUGCUACUUCUCCGGCAGCCCUGCCUCCUCGUCUGUCUACCGGAGGAGAAGAAGAAGAGCAAGAAACAAACGGUGAAGGGGACGGAGGAGACGGGUAGUCCGUCGGGGAAGCAAAUAAAAAAAAAAAUGGUGGGGUCCAUAGUUGGCCGUUUAAAUAGAGGGCCACUAAAUUGGAGGGUGGGGGGGAUUUGGAAGACCUACCAAAAUGACAGCCCAUUUGAAAAGUCUGUUGGAGAUCAAUUUUUUACACCCAUUGAGUAAAUAUGGAGAUAGCAGCCCAUUUAGGCACCCCACUGGAGUUGCUUAUAGUCAGUUUGGUUGGCUUCCAAUUUUUACCUAACCAAAAUGUAUGCAUGCCUAUAAAGUUUGGCUUAUCAAUGGGUUCAUGUCUAAAAAUUAGCACUUCAAUAUUUAUGGCCAAAACCAUGACAAUUUACUAAAAAGUUCUUGAACCUUUUUAGGGGAAAAUAAAUUUGCUGCCAUAUUUUGAUA